AAUUGAAAAACUGAAAAUUGUCGAUAAUAAACCUAUCUUGUCUGUGUUUCAAUUAAUGCUUUUGGAACAUAUAGUUAUGUGUCGGCUUGUAUUGGGAAAUAAAAGCGUGGCUCUCGCGGAAAUUUCUCAAGCUUGUCAGUUUUGCAGGCGACAGCCUAAAUUACUUCAAGGCCAUAGAUCACAAUUACAUGCAUUAUUAGGUUUAUAUGCAAUGUCUAUGAAUUGUAUGGAAGCUGCAGAGGCUCAUUUUACUGCUAUACUCAGAACGUCACAAGAGAGGGAAUUCUGGACAUUCGCGAAAUUUAAAAAAAAAUACUUAAACUAUUUGUCUUUAAUUCUUAUUUAUC